rnacentral:lncRNA from 1 species
CAAAUUCAUCCAAGACCGGUCCAUUUCUUAUUUCUUGAAGCCUAAUCUUGACAAUAAAUUGCACGGGUUUAGGAUUUAGGAAUAAGUAUAGUUAAGCUAUGUAAGUUAUGUAUUAUGUAAGUUAUUCAUUACCCAAAUUAUGUAAGUUGUGUAUUAUGAAAAUUAUGCUAUGUAAGUUAUGUAAGUCAUAUAAGUUAUGUAAGUUGUAAGUUAUGUAAAUUAUUUAUUAUGAAAAUUAAGUAAGUUAUGUAAUUUAUGAAUAAUUAAAAAAACGUAAGUUAUGUAAGUUGUAAGUUAUGUAAGUUGUAAGUUAUGUAUAAUAUUAAUUAACUAACUUAUGUAAUUUAAGUAUAAUAUUAAUGUAAGUUAUGUAUAAUAUUAAUUAACUAACUUAUGUAAUUUAAGUAUAAUUAACAAAGUUAUGUAAUUUAUGUAUAAUAUUAAUGUAAUUAGUUAUGUAAUUUAUGUAUAUUAAUUAAUUAAGUUAUGUAAUUUAUGUAUAAUAUUAAUGUAAGUUAUGUAAUUUAUGAAUAAUUAUAAAAAUGUAAGUUAUGUAAGUUGUAAGUUAUGUAAGUUAUGUAUAAUAUUAAUUAAUUAAGUUAUGUAAGUUGUAAGUUAUUACUGUAAGCAAUGUAAUUUAUGUGUAAUAAUUAAUUAAGUUAUGUAAUUUAUGUAUAAUAUUAGUGCAAGUUAUGUAUAAUAUUAAUUAAUUAAGUUAUGUAAUUUAUGUAUAAUAUUAAUGUAACUUAUGUAAUUUAUGUAUAUUAAUUAAUUAAAUGAUAUGUACAAGCUUAUGGAAGCUAAGAAAAAGUAAAACUAUCCUUUCACUUUUGUGUUUCCUCUUCUCUCUUAUUCUUACUAUAGUUCUUUUAGUUUUAUAAUGUCUUGAUAUAUAAAAUUAGUCAAAUUUUAAUUUUGGUCCUUAUACUAUUCUUAAAUUUGAGAUUUUAUAUUUAUAUUUUAAUUUUUGACAUAAUUUGCACUCUCAAUGUUUAUAAUGCUAUUAGUUAAAUGAAAUAUCUUAUUUUAAUUAAAAUGCUUAUGAGAAUUUUAAAUUUUUUUAAUUUCAUUAAAAUUCUUUGUUGAAUUCAGGUCCAUUAAAUGUGUUAAACUCUUAUAAUGUCACAACAACAAAUUUAACAAAUGAACUCCAAUUUUAAAUUUUAAAAAUAAAGAGACUAAAUUAUUAAAAAUAAAAAUUUGGAGAUUGAACAUCAAAUAUACAAAGAAUACAAAAGCUUGAAAUUUUAAUUAUUUAGUCUAAAACUAAUUAACCCAACCCGAGACAUAAAUUGAAAACCAUAUUAAUUUUAAUAACUUUAAUGUUGUUUUCUAGGCCCUAGCUAACCAUUUUUCUAAAGAUAUUUAACAAACGAAAAACAUAACCUCUGAAAGAUGUUUUGCGUAAUGUGGAAAUUGGGUGAAAGAUAAAAAUAUAUUUAUUACAUAAUUGAAAAUAAAUUUAUUUUUCUGCUGUACGUUAAAUAAAUUAAUAAUAUAUUUAUAAUUAAAUAAAACAAUAAAAGCUAAUUUUAGUAAGUCAUGUAUUUAACAUUCUGUUAAAUCGGGCAGCCCAUUUUUACAAUGUAUAUACAAUAUCCAAAUCUCCUGUGUAAGAAAAAACAGCAGAGAACUAACAAACUCAUUCAACAAAGCAGAACAGACAUGUAGGAACUCGGUGUAGGAACAAAGCAGAACAGACAUGUUGGAACAGACAUGUAAGAAAUCGUGUAACAUAGUUUAACAUUGUUUACCAACUACAGAGCUAAUUACAGAGUGCUGCCAAAUCGAUUACGUUCUAAGAAAAUUACUUUCAACAAUUGUUACUGCAACAUGGUAAGGCAGCAAGGACAUUUUGAUUAAAAUAAUAUCAGGAAACUUACCUAAAUACGAGCUGAUCAAUAAGGCAGUAACAAAUGGUUAAUCCACAAUUUUUCCAUUUCAAAUAUCUUUAACAGUUUGGCAAAUGCAGUGUUAAUUCUGGGAAACAAAACUUGAACAUAAGACAAUGGGUAAUUUUUAACUCUUCAACAAUGAGAAGAACAAAGUAUUUAACUAAAUUACAAUUUCCUAAAACAACUCUAAAUUUCUUAAAACAAGCACAACAAAGAAAAUAAGUGAUACACAAGAAGCACAGUUACAGGUCAGUUAUGCUCAACUUAUCAAACGCAUAAGAAAACAGUUGAAUAAAAAAAAAGGUGUUUUUCCAUAUAAAUAAGCUAUACAAAAAAUUGUUACAAAUGAAGAAAAACUGCAGGGAGAAGAACUGAAAACAUUUAUCCACAACACUAAAUAGAAAUUUCAGUUGAAGCAAAAUAACAGUCCAAAAUAUUUGUAUAUUUAAUAUGAAUUGAUUUUAAAUGUGACAAAAUUUUUAUUGUUACUUUUCAAACCCAAAUUUCUGGACUCUCCUAAACUAAACCAAAAUUUCUUGUUAAAUUGUAUCAUUUAACAAGUCUCAAAUUAUAAAUUAACCUUCAACCACAUAUGAAUCCACAAACAUCAUAUUAACAGAAGAAUUUAACAAGUCCCGAAAUUUUGCUUUCUCCUCUCAAAAUCUUCUAACACCACAUGCAAGAUUAAAUUGGAAACAGAACCAUCGUAUUCCAACGUGCAAAAAUGGUUCAACUAAAGCUCAAUUUGUCAAGGAAAAGCAUUUAUACCAACAUGGUUCUAUUGCAGUAAAACUCGAUAAAACCAUAAACUCCAGAUACGACCCAACACCUAAACAACCAUAGACCAAGUUGCAGGGAUGCCAUAAUUUUCAUAAUUUAUAUCAACACUCAUUAUGGUGAUAACUACAGAAAAUAAUUUAACAAUAAAUGCCUUUAGAAGUAUAACCUGUACAUUGCUGAAGCCGGAAACCCCGAAUGAUUUUUGAGAAAAAGAGGAAAACCUUACCGAUUUCUUCGACGGCAAAGGAGUGCGAUGGUAGAGGACUGCGACGGUCGACGAAUGCGACGGUAGACGAUCAACGGCAGAAGGGACGGUUAUUUUCAAAGCAGCAGAUUUGGGGAAGGUUCGGGUCCUGGAGCGCAGCAGAUUUGGGGAAGGUUUAGGGUUCUUGCCUUGGGGAAAUUUUGGGGAAAAUUUAGAGGGAAUGAAGAUUUCGUGUAUGGGAAAAAUGAACUGGGGAAUAAAAU